UUUCAUUUCAGAUCUAAAAUUUGUUCUUGCUCCAUCAUCGUCUUCAUCGUCGCUACCACCGCCAUUACCACCUCGUCGUCCGUUGCUGCAUAGAUUCAGGAACACCUCCUUCGUCAUUACCUCCUAUACUUCCGCCAAAUCCACCACCACCACCACCACAUAACAUCAUAAACAACCUGUUUAUAUCCAUGAAUCGACGAGAAACCUGUUUGAUUCUGAAACUGGUAUGAUUUUAGGUUUUGAUUUUAUUUUAGUUUAAUGAUAUUAACUAAUUUCAUGGUAUUUGAAGAGAUUGUUAAUCUAUAAGUUAUAUGUUAACUUAUUUCAAGUUGAAAUUUCAAGAAGUAAUGAUGAUUAUAGCGGUGGCGCUGAUGGUGGUUGCGGUGGUAGGAGAGGUUUGGUUUGUUGAUUCGUCUACAAAGUGAAAGUUAAAUCAAUUUCUAAAUUAUUGACGGAGAUAAAAGGGGAUUGCAGUGAUUAUCUUCUUCCUUUUGUUUAAGUUUCCGGUGAUGGUGAAGUUGGGAAUGAUGAAAUUGGCGAUAAAAAUCAUGGUGGUUCUGGUUAUUAUUGUGGUGAUGAAGUUGGUGGUGGAGAUUUGUUGUGAUUGUGGUGGUUUGGAGAUGUUUGCAGUGGUGAUACUUACGGUUACUAUCACUUCCUUCACUAAUGUCACUGCAAAAAAUAUCAAUGCAAGUUGAUAGUUUGCAACAUUGGUGUUGCUGCUGGUUGUUUGUUGUGGAGGGGUGGCGGUGCUGGUGGCGUUUUUGUGGUAAGUACUAGCUCUUCAUAGCAGGCUUAAUAUUUGAUCUACUUAACAAUGGAAAAUUUACAUUAGACAGAUGUUUUGUGCAUGGUAUUUACUAAUAAUUGAUAUUUUUUACUAUAAUCAUCUGGUGAUAUUGCUAUAUACAUUUAGAUCUGUUUGAUAGCUAGUUGCAGCUAUACAUCAUCUCUACAUAAUAAGCUGCAUGUAGUGGAUGCUGAAAAGUUACUAGAAAAUGUAUGUAUAUAUAUGAUUUUUGACUUCCUCUUGACGACUCAACAUGAGAUGUUCCUGCACAUAUUUCAACAAUUACGGGUAACACUUUUCCCACAACACAAUAUCUUGAGUUAUGCUUGAUAUAAGGUGGUAUCAUUUUAUGCUUUUGUCUCUUGUGUCCAUUUGUUGCUUAUGUAUAAAAUGCCUUCUUUGCUCGCUGGUUCACAAGUGAACCGGUUUCCGAACAUUACAUUUUCAUAUACUUAUCUUGGUGAUAUCUACUACUAGUGACGGCCUAUAGAAAUGUGUAUUUAGGAUUUAUAAGUAGUUUAUCUGCUCACAAUAUUUCAGUCCUUGCUCAUAAUUUUUAUUUUUUGUGUACACACACAUUACUUGGUACAAUUUUAUUUGGUACAGAAGUAGUUAAUUUUGAUAAAAUUCUAGUAUAUUAUUGAACUUUAGA